rnacentral:rRNA from 1 species
AUUGAACGCUGGCGGCAUGCUUUACACAUGCAAGUCGAACGGCAGCGCGGGCUUCGGCCUGGCGGCGAGUGGCGAACGGGUGAGUAAUACAUCGGAACGUGCCCAGUAGUGGGGGAUAGCUCGGCGAAAGCCGGAUUAAUACCGCAUACGACCUGAGGGUGAAAGCGGGGGAUCUUCGGACCUUGCGCCAUUGGAGCGGCCGAUGGCGGAUUAGCUAGUUGGUGGGGUAAAGGCCUACCAAGGCGACGAUCUGUAGCUGGUCUGAGAGGACGACCAGCCACACUGGAACUGAGACACGGCCCAGACUCCUACGGGAGGCAGCAGUGGGGAAUUUUGGACAAUGGGCGAAAGCCUGAUCCAGCAAUGCCGCGUGUGUGAUGAAGGCCUUCGGGUUGUAAAGCACUUUUGGCGGGAAAGAAAAGGACUGUGCCAAUACCACGGUUCGAUGACGGUACCCGCAGAAUAAGCACCGGCUAACUACGUG